CAGCAGCCGCGGUAAUACGAGGGGGGCAAGCGUUGUUCGGAAUUAUUGGGCGUAAAGGGUGCGUAGGCGGUUUGGCAAGUCUAGUGUGAAAUCUUCGGGCUCAACUCGAAGUUUGCACUGGAAACUGCCGGGCUUGAGUAUGGGAGAGGUGAGUGGAAUUUCCGGUGUAGCGGUGAAAUGCGUAGAUAUCGGAAGGAACACCUGUGGCGAAGGCGGCUCACUGGACCAUUACUGACGCUGAGGUACGAAAGCUAGGGGAGCAAACAGGAUUAGAUACCCGCGUAGUCCCUGUCUCUUAUAC
rnacentral:rRNA from 1 species